rnacentral:rRNA from 1 species
CCCGCACAAGCGGUGGAGCAUGUGGUUUAAUUCGACGCAACGCGCAGAACCUUUACCAGGUCUUGACAUACCAUUGACAGGUGUAGAGAUACACUCUCCUUCGGGCAAUGGAUACAGGUGGUGCAUGGUUGUCGUCAGCUCGUGCCGUGAGGUGUUGGGUUAAGUCCCGCAACGAGCGCAACCCUCAUUGUUAGUUACUACCAUUCAGUUGAGGACUCUAAUGAGACUGCCAACGACAAGUUGGAGGAAGUGGGGAUGACGUCAAAUCAUCAUGCCCUUUAUGACCUGGGCUACAAACGUACUACAAUGGCCAAUACAAAGAGAUGCGAAGCGGUGACGUGAAGCGAACCUCAGAAAGUUGGUCUCAGUUCAGAUUGAAGUCUGCAACUCGACUUCAUGAAGGCGGAAUCGCUAGUAAUCGCGGGUCAGCAGACCGCGGUGAAUACGUUCCUGGGUUU